GGCGGAGCCAGAGAGCAGUGAUUGGUCAGACCAUAGAUAAUAUAGAAGACAGGGCGCUAGCGGAUCUAGUCUCUGUAUGUCUAUGGUCAGCACGUCUGGUAGCAUCUCUGGCUGCUGUUGAUCUUGUUUUUGGAGUAAAACACGGUGGAAGCUGAAUUAGUGAGGAUGACUCCUGCUCCUGUCAUCUCUAAGCUCCUCACACAUCUUUACCUGCACAUGAGGAAAAUCACUCCUGUAGAAUGCAGUGGUUCAUCAGAACCUCUGGGGAUGUCCUGUGGAUUCUGUGGAUCCUGUGGGUUGCAGGGUGGGUCCUACCUAGACCAGGCUGAUCCUGGACCAUCCCACAGAUGCUCCAUCAGAUGUGGAUGUGGGGAGUGUGGAACCCAGAUGUUCAGAGGGAGAUGAUGCCACAUCUGGUCCAGCUGAUGGAAGGUCUUGAAGUUCUCUGACUGGCCUCGACUGAAGAUGGUCGUCUCACUGGAUUUAAGGUUCAGAUGCUCAGUAACAAACUCCACCAAUGAGCCAACAGGGAAGCUUUAGGUUUAUUAAAUGUUGCUAUGAAGGUAUCGCUGUUUUUCUUUGUGAAUGCAAUGUGCUCCAACUGAAACUUGAAUUAGAACUUUGAAGUAAAUCCUUCCAUCUGAAAGGAUUUAGUUGCAUUAAUAACCUCAUAACAUUCUAAUUUUUAUUCCAGUCUUAGUUGGAAAUAGAAUCUCUGUAUUGAUUCAGGUAAUAACUGAACUUCACAGCAUGUUGAAGCAAAACAACCAGAUGAAAACUGUGAUGGUGUUGGAUUGUCAGACCGUAAUGUUGCAGCUCAAAGCAGCUUUUCUAUCUCAGUUCAUUCUGACAUUCAGCUAUGAAUCAACACAGCAGAUGGUGAGCCAUGCUGUGGAAGUCUCACAUCUCCUGAUUUAAUGGAGCUGCUUUGCACUUUUUACACUGUUUAUUCACCAACACUUUAUUUAAUACAAGUCCCAUCUAGUUUUCAUGAGGAAUGUGAUGUUUUAAUGUCUCUGUGAAUAACUGCAGUCUAAUGCAACAGCUGGAGUUGUAACAUCUGUCCUGAUAUUGAUCAUGAAGUAUUGAUCAGAAUACUUAUGGUCAGCAGUCAUUCCUGAAGUUUUACAUUAAAAUCUUUACUUGUGUUGUGAACUUUAGUAAGAAGCAGAAACGUUAGCGUUGCCAUGGAUACAUGAGUGUUAAAUUCUGUCCAUGUUUCCAUUUUGGGAAAUGCAGUCCAGUUCCAGAAUGUGGAGAAAUUUAGUCUCACAAUCACAGACAAAAAAUAUUAUCUGAAAGUCGGGUUAUUGUUGUUUAUCAGCACAAUACAAAAAGAUUAAUGUUAGAAAUAUUCCAGUUCAGACUCUAGAAUAUCAUGAUUUAUGUAAAUUUACCUCAAUAAUAUGAAUGUUCAGGUUAAGAUUAUACAGCGAUAUUUAUUAUGUAAGUUUAGCUGAUUAAAGUUUAUGACUCUGCACUAAAAUAUUAUUUAAAUUGACAUCAUUAUUCUAAUAUUGAGGGUCAGACCCAGUAUUGAGAUAAAGAAAUCAAAUAUUCUAUAAAAUGUAAAUACACUGAACUCAUUUGGAUAUAUUUAAGUGAGACUCUACAAUAUUAUUUGACACAAAUCUAUCUAAAUCAAAAGUUUAAUAAUUUUCAUGUCAAACAUUUACUGGACUGAUUUAAAUAAUAAAAUCACUCCUUUCUAAUCCUCUGCUGUACGUUCAAACCUGAGGCCUUAAAUAGAAACACACAAGUAUCUGUUUGAAGGAACUUCUGCAGAGUCCUGGUUCCAGAACAUGAUGAUAGAAUUAUAGCCAAACUUUAACAAAAGCUGCCUGAGAGUUUACAGGUUUUUAUGUUGGAUUUCUUCAGUAAUUUAAUGAGCGUUAUCAGCAAUAAUCAAGUGUUCAUUUGAUGAACUUCAUUUCCUAAAACAUCCAGAAUUGGAGCUCAUAUCUUUGGCAGCUGUAAAGUUUCUGCUCCUUCAAAGUUCACAACACAAUGAAUUAAUUCCUAAAACACUCUCAGUGCUGGAGAACAUUUGAUGCUGAAGCAGUGAUCAGUUUUUCUGUUUCUUCUCUGGAGAUGCACCAUGAGGGACGUCUGCAGCGACUGAGAAAGAGUCUCGCCACAUCCUUACAUGAGGAAAAAGACUUUAUUGAAGACUACAAUGAGAAAAAAUAUCAGACAGCAGACGGCUGCAUUCAAGUCUGUAGCUGCUGAAUUCAUGGAUGAAUCAUCUGGCACUAGAGAGGAAGACCAUCAAACAUCCACGUCAGCUGAUGGAGGUCCAAGAGUCUCACCAAACAAACAACCUACAGAGUGAAGACCUCAAAUCUGAUUGGACGGCCUCCUAUUCAGCCACGUGUGAACAAAUGCCUCUAAGCUGAUUUGUUUUCUAAAAUAAAUCUAGUUUGAGUCCUAAUCUAUGCCUGUGUGUUUGCUUCUUUACACCGCUGUUAACAGUUUAGGCUGUUAGAUUGUUCCAGAUAAGACAAGUACAAGAUUCUUCAGAGCCGUUCUACCACGAGCCUGACAGGAAGAACUCCAACAGCUACUGAAUGUUCCUGUGGUCCCCUCAAGGCUACAGGAGGAGCCCUACGAGGACGAGCUGGUCCACCUGAUGGCGGCCAGUCGCUGCGGUUCAAAGCCAACACCGACUACGUGGACUUCUACUGGACCACACGGAGACCUUCAAACCGGACCAACAAGUUCAUCGACUCCCCGACUCGUGGGUCUGAGGACGCCGCCGAGCCUCGGCCCAGCCGGCCUCCUGUCUGUGGGUGUUUGAGUGCUGAGAGGUUUGUGGAUGCAUGUGAACGUUCUGUGUUGAAACAGCAGCUUUGGACUCAGUAACGCCAGGAAAAACCAAGAGCUCCUUUAUUUGUGACUUCCACUAAAAAACUGAUGAAAAUAAGUUUGCCAGG